rnacentral:misc_RNA from 1 species
UUUCCGUAGGUGAACCUGCGGAAGGAUCAUUCAUAAUAAAGUGUUUUAUGGCACUUUUUAAAAAUCCAUAUCCACCUUGUGUGCAAUGUUAGAUCUCGUCAAUCUUGGCGAGAUUUUUAUACAUCAACUCAUUCUUUAACUAAUUUGUCUGAAAAAUAUUAUGAAUACUUAAUUCAAAAUACUACUUUCAACAACGGAUCUCUUGGCUCUC